rnacentral:rRNA from 1 species
UACGGGGGGGGCAAGCGUUGUUCGGAAUUACUGGGCGUAAAGGGCUCGUAGGCGGCCAACUAAGUCGGAUGUGAAAUCCCCAGGCUCAACCUGGGAACUGCAUCCGAUACUGGAUGGCUUGAAUCCGGGGGAGGGAUGCAGAAUUCCAGGUGUAGCGGUGAAAUGCGUAGAUAUCUGGAAGAACACCAAUGGCGAAGGCAGCUCUCUGGGACGGUACUGACGCUGAGACGCGAAAGCGUGGGGAGCGAACAGG